AUUGAACGCUGGCGGCAGGCCUAACACAUGCAAGUCGAGCGGCAGAAGAGAACUUGCUCCUUCAUACAGCGGCGGACGGGUGGGUAAUUCCUAGGUAUCUGCCUGUUUGUGUGGGCUAGCGUCCGGAAACGGGCGCUCAUACCGCAUUAGUCCUGAGGGAGAAAGUGUGGGAUCAUCGGAUCUUACGCUAUCAGAUGAUCCUAUGUCGGAUUAGCUAGUUGGUGGGGUAACGGCCUACCAAGGCGACGAUUCGUCAAUGGUCUGAGAGGCUGAUCAGGCACACUGGAACUGGGGCACGGUCCAGACUCCUACGGGAGGCAGCAGUGGGGAAUCUUGGGCAAUGGGCGAAAGCCUGAACCAGCCAUGCCGCGUGUGUGAAGAAGGUCUUCGGAUUGUAAAACACUUUUAGUUGGGAAGAAAAAGAGUAAGGUUAAACCUUCGCGGUUUGACGGUACCAAAAGGAAAAGCCACGGCUAACUUCGUG
rnacentral:rRNA from 1 species